GGUAAGAUGGCUGAGUAAGCAUCGGACUGUAAAUCUAAAGACAGAGGUUCGAGCCCUCUUUUUACCA
rfam:Felis catus breed Abyssinian Contig149720.1, whole genome shotgun sequence. [26-MAY-2016]